rnacentral:rRNA from 1 species
UACGAAGGGUGCAAGCGUUAAUCGGAAUUACUGGGCGUAAAGCGCGCGUAGGUGGUUUGUUAAGUUGAAUGUGAAAGCCCCGGGCUCAACCUGGGAACUGCAUCCAAAACUGGCAAGCUAGAGUAUGGCAGGGGGUGGUGGAAUUUCCUGUGUAGCGGUGAAAUGCGUAGAUAUAGGAAGGAACACCAGUGGCGAAGGCGACCACCUGGGCUAAUACUGACACUGAGGUGCGAAAGCGUGGGGAGCAAACAGG